GUACACUCCUACGGGAGGCAGCAGUGGGGAAUAUUGGACAAUGGGCGCAAGCCUGAUCCAGCCAUGCCGCGUGAGUGAUGAAGGCCCUAGGGUUGUAAAGCUCUUUCACCGGUGAAGAUAAUGACGGUAACCGGAGAAGAAGCCCCGGCUAACUUCGUGCCAGCAGCCGCGGUAAUACGAAGGGGGCUAGCGUUGUUCGGAUUUACUGGGCGUAAAGCGCACGUAGGCGGACUAUUAAGUCAGGGGUGAAAUCCCGGGGCUCAACCCCGGAACUGCCUUUGAUACUGGUAGUCUUGAGUUCGAGAGAGGUGAGUGGAAUUCCGAGUGUAGAGGUGAAAUUCGUAGAUAUUCGGAGGAACACCAGUGGCGAAGGCGGCUCACUGGCUCGAUACUGACGCUGAGGUGCGAAAGCGUGGGGAGCAAACAGGAUUAGAUACCCCUGUAGUCCCAUG
rnacentral:rRNA from 1 species